rnacentral:sRNA from 1 species
AAUGAGUUAUGGUAGUGGGUUAUCAGAACUUAUUAACAUUAGUGUCACUAAAGUUGGUAUGCACCCCCCUACUGCUAAAUUUGACUGGCUUAAA